rnacentral:rRNA from 1 species
GACGAACGCUGGCGGCGUGCCUAAUACAUGCAAGUCGAGCGCUUGAGGGUGGUACUUGUACGGACUGGAUGAGCAGCGGACGAGUGAGUAACGCGUGUGGAAUCUGCCGUGGAGCGUAGGACAAGAUUUGGAGACGAAUGCUAAUACCGCAUAAAAACGUUAAAGACAAGGUUUAAGGUUGAAAGAGGCAAUUGCAUCACUCAAAGAUGAUCCCGCGUUUUAUUAGCUAGAUGGUUAGGGAAAGGAUCACCAAUGCGAAGAUACCUAGCCUGACUGGGAGGGUGGUCGGCCAACUUGGGACUGAGACAAGGCCCCAAAUCCUAACGGGGGCAGCCGGAGGGGAACUUUGGCCAUGGACGAAAGUCUGACCGCGGAAAGCCGCGUGAGUGAAGAAGGUUUUCGGAUCGUAAAACUCUGUUAGUAGAGGAGAAAGUUGGUGAGAGUGGAACGCUCCUCUAGUGACGGUAACUACACAGAAAGGGACGGCUAACUACGUG